rnacentral:rRNA from 1 species
CGCGGCCUAUCAGCUUGUUGGUGAGGUAACGGCUCACCAAGGCAUCGACGGGUAGCUGGUCUGAGAGGACGAUCAGCCACACUGGGACUGAGCCACGGCCCAGACUCCUACGGGAGGCAGCAGUAGGGAAUCUUGCGCAAUGGGCGAAAGCCUGACGCAGCAACGCCGCGUGGGGGAUGAAUGCCUUCGGGUUGUAAACCCCUUUCAGCGGGGACGAAAAUGACGGUACCUGCAGAAGAAGCUCCGGCCAACUACGUGCCAGCAGCCGCGGUAAUACGUAGGGAGCGAGCGUUGUCCGGAAUUAUUGGGCGUAAAGAGCUCGUAGGCGGUUCAGUAAGUCGGGUGUGAAAACUCAAGGCUCAACCUUGAGACGCCACUCGAUACUGCUGUGACUUGAGUCCGGCAGAGGAGUGUGGAAUUCCUGGUGUAGCGGUGAAAUGCGCAGAUAUCAGGAGGAACACCAGCGGCGAAGGCGGCACUCUGGGCCGGUACUGACGCUGAGGAGCGAAAGCAUGGGGAGCAAACAGGAUUAGAUACCCUGGUAGUCCAUGCCGUAAACGUUGGGCACUAGGUAUGGGACCAUAUCAACGGGUUCCGUGCCGUAGCUAACGCAUUAAGUGCCCCGCCUGGGGAGUACGG